UUUUUGAAGUUAUCUCCCAAGGAUUACAAAAAUCGUAACACUACACAUUUAAACCAAAAAAACAUGGUGUCUAACUCAAAAAUCUUUUGUUGUACUUAGAGACUCAAAUACAGAUUCAACAGGAUUAUUAUUUUGGACAAUAUUCCUCAUCAAAGAGCCAACUGAUCCUCUACCAACCAUCUUUGAAAUUCUGCUAUAUCUCUUGAAAGAGCUAUUUGAUGACCAACCUAUAUGGUCCAUGGCGUCAUGCGUGUUUAUCCCUGAUAGUGCCAUUGUUAUUG
rnacentral:lncRNA from 1 species